rnacentral:rRNA from 1 species
UACGGAGGGUGCAAGCGUUAUCCGGAAUCAUUGGGUUUAAAGGGUCCGCAGGCGGGUAAAUAAGUCAGAGGUGAAAUCCGGCAGCUCAACUGUCGCACUGCCUUUGAUACUGUUUAUCUUGAAUUUUAGUGGAGUGGGCGGAAUAUGUCAUGUAGCGUUGAAAUGCUUAGAUAUGACGUGGAACACCGAUAGCGAAGGCAGCUCACUAACUAUGAAUUGACGCUCAUGGACGAAAGCGUGGGUAGCAAACAGG